rnacentral:lncRNA from 1 species
UCAUUUAUUGAAUUUUAUGCUUAAGGUUGCCUAAAAACUAUUUAUAGUUCUUUAAAAAGUUGACUUUUCUAGUGCCAACAAAUUGAGUAUUUAAAUAAUGUAAGUGAUUUAGGGGUCCUGUAAAUGGCACCCAUUUUUGUCCCCUUACUUCCGAGUUUGUAACUGAUUGAGGACUGACAAGUGGAGCUCAAAAUUUUAACUUCGUUUCUGACAAACUUUACUGGAGAGAAUGGCUUUUUAUGUGUGACCAAAAGAUUCACCUAUUAAUCUCCUAAAUUAAUCAGAUUUGAAUGGAUAACAACUAAUACCUCCAUUGGAAUACAGGCUGCUCUCAUGGGCUUAACCAUAAUGUGGAGAGCGAGAAAGAACACAUGCAUCUCGCAGGCAGACUGACUCUGAAAAAGGCCAACAAGGCCUACGUCAAGCACACCAAGCUUUUUCUUUCAAACUUAUCACUCAGGGUGAAAGAUGGAGGUGUGUUAAGAAGGCAAGUAGGAUGCUACUUGAAACCCAGAAACAAGUCUACCAAAACAGCUUGGGUAGGAAGACAGUUAACUUUGAAGAUUUAACUGGAGGAGAAUGUUACUCAUUGUAAAUAAUUCUUCAACCAGAAGUGUGCUGCCUUUAGUGAUGGCUAAUACAACCUAUGAAUGCAUAUCUUAGAAGAGAGAUACAUGUAAGUUAAGGGCAGAAACCCAAAAUGAUCAAAUUAAAAGCUCAGAGAAUAAUCAAUCUGCAAUCAAAGUUCUGCACUCCUCCUUUGUCCAUCAAGAAACUGAUGUUUCUGACUCAAUCAUUUACCUGGAUGAGGGCCUCCAACUGCCAUAUUUUCCUCUGUUCUCCUCAUUGAGCAGAUACAUCCUGAUGAAUAUAUCCAACAUACAUAUACCACGUACAUAAUAUUAUAUAUGUUGUCUAUUGCUUCAUAUUUAGAACCUUAAAGCACAAGUUUAGAACCUUAAAACAACACACAUUUAUCAACACAGAGUUUCUAUGGAACAGGAGUUGGGGCCAGGCUUAGCUUGCUCUUCUUGAGAUCUCAUAAAGUUUCAAUCAAGAUGUCAACAGGUCUGGGGUCUCAUCUGGAAGAUGAGAUAAACUGGCUUCCAAACUCAUUCACAUCUUGGCAGAAUUCAUUUCCUCUAGCUAUUUGGCUGAGGCCCAGAGUUCCUACAGGCUACCUGCAGUGUUUUGACACAUGGGCCUCUUCGUAGGUGGUUCAUAACAUGACUGCUUCAUUAAGACCAGCAAGGGAGUGAAAGUGGAACAUUUCAGAAGUCUCUGGGCUCUGGUUUUAAGAAACUUAUUGAAAGAUAAUCAUUUCCUUCAAAGGUUUUCUUGCAGCCCGUCUGAAACCAUGAAUUGCUGAUUCUUGUCCUUGUAGUAAAUCUCUCUUCAUCACUUAUAUUCUGGAGCUCAAAGAAGGACCUGCAUAAUUACUGAACAUAAAUUUCAGUUCAAGAACCUACAAUUUACUGAUCUUUAACCUCCUGAGAUGAGAGCUCACUGGAA